ACAUGCAAGUNNUGGGGCAGCAGGUUUGUANNANUACAGAUGCUGGCGACCGGCAAACGGGUGNGGAACACGUACGCAACCUUCCUUCAAGUGGGGAAUAGCCCAGGGAAACUUGGAUUAAUACCCCGUAACAAUGUGAAAUGGCAUCAUUUUAUAUUUAUAGNUCCGGCGCUUGAAGAUGGGCGUGCGUCUGAUUAGGUAGUNGGCGGGGUAACGGCCCACCAAGCCUACGAUCAGUAACUGGUGUGAGAGCACGACCAGUCACACGGGCACUGAGACACGGGCCCGACUCCUACGGGAGGCAGCAGUAAGGAAUAUUGGUCAAUGGACGCAAGUCUGAACCAGCCAUGCCGCGUGGAGGAUGAAGGUCCUCUGGAUUGUAAACUUCUUUUAUUUGGGAAGAAACCCACGGUUUCUACUGUGGUUGACGGUACCAGAUGAAUAAGCACCGGCUAACUCCGUGCCAGCAGCCGCGGUAAUACGGAGGGUGCAAGCGUUAUCCGGAUUCACUGGGUUUAAAGGGUGCGUAGGCGGGCAGGUAAGUCAGUGGUGAAACCCCCGAGCUUAACUCGGGAACUGCCGUUGAUACUAUCUGUCUUGAAUGCUGUGGAGGUAAGCGGAAUAUGUCAUGUAGCGGUGAAAUGCUUAGAUAUGACAUGGAACACCUAUUGCGAAGGCAGCUUGCUACACAGCUAUUGACGCUGAGGCACGAAAGCGUGGGGAUCAAACAGGAUUAGAUACCCUGGUAGUCCACGCCCUAAACGAUGGAUACUCGACAUCAGCGAUACACUGUUGGUGUCUGAGCGAAAGCAUUAAGUAUCCCACCUGGGAAGUACGACCGCAAGGUUGAAACUCAAAUGAAUUGACGG
rnacentral:rRNA from 1 species